rnacentral:rRNA from 1 species
ACGAACGCUGGCGGCGCGCCUAACCCCUGCAAGUCGCACGGAGCUGAGAGAAGCUUGCUUUUCUUAGCUUAGUGGCGAACGGGUGAGUAACGCGUGAGUAACCUGCCCUGGAGUGGGGGACAACAGUUGGAAACGACUGCUAAUACCGCAUAAGCCCACGAUCCGGCAUCGGAUUGAGGGAAAAGGAUUUAUUCGCUUCAGGAUGGACUCGCGUCCAAUUAGCUAGUUGGUGAGGUAACGGCCCACCAAGGCGACGAUUGGUAGCCGGACUGAGAGGUUGAACGGCCACAUUGGGACUGAGACACGGCCCAGACUCCUACGGGAGGCAGCAGUGGGGGAUAUUGCACAAUGGGGGAAACCCUGAUGCAGCGACGCCGCGUGGAGGAAGAAGGUUUUCGGAUUGUAAACUCCUGUCGUUAGGGACGAUAAUGACGGUACCUAACAAGAAAGCACCGGCUAACUACGUG